GACGAACGCUGGCGGCGUGCCUAACACAUGCAAGUCGAACGAAGUGGCGAACGGGUGAGUAACGCGUAAUCAACCUGCCCUUCAGAGGGGGACAACAGUUGGAAACGACUGCUAAUACCGCAUUCCGACGGCGGGGUUUCCGUCUGAUUAGCUAGUUGGAGGGGUAACGGCCCACCAAGGCGAGGAUCAGGAGCCGGUCUGAGAGGAUGAACGGCCACAUUGGGAAUUAGACACGGCCCAGACUCCUACGGGAGGCAGCAGUGGGGAAUCUACCGCAAUGGACGAAAGUCUGACGGAGCAACGCCGCGUGGGUGAUGACGGCCUUCGGGUUGUAAAGCUCUGUUAAUCGGGACGCGGUACCGGAAUAGAAAGCCACGGCUAACUACGUGCCAGCAGCCGCGGUAAUAC
rnacentral:rRNA from 1 species